AGAGUUUGAUCCUGGCUCAGGAUGAACGCUAGCGACAGGCUUAACACAUGCAAGUCGAGGGGCAGCGGGGCGGAAGCUUGCUUUCGCCCGCCGGCGACCGGCGCACGGGUGAGUAACACGUAUGCAACCUGGCCGCCACAGGGGGAUAACCCGCGGAAACGCGGCCUAAUACCCCGUGACGCCACCGGAGGGCAUCCUCCGGUGGCCAAAGGAGCGAUCCGGUGGCGGAUGGGCAUGCGGCGCAUUAGCUAGACGGCGGGGUGACGGCCCACCGUGGCGACGAUGCGUAGGGGUUCUGAGAGGAAGGCCCCCCACACUGGGACUGAGACACGGCCCAGACUCCUACGGGAGGCAGCAGUGAGGAAUAUUGGUCAAUGGGCGGAAGCCUGAACCAGCCAAGUCGCGUGAGGGAUUAAGGCCCUGCGGGUCGUAAACCUCUUUUGCCGGGGAGCAGUGGUCCGGACGCGUCCGGACCGGGAGAGUACCCGGAGAAAAAGCAUCGGCUAACUCCGUG
rnacentral:rRNA from 1 species